rnacentral:tRNA from 4 species
GCCGGGGUGGCGUAGUUGGUAGCGCGUCGGACUCAUAAUCCGAAGGUCGCGGGUUCAAGCCCCGCUCCCGGCACCA